AAGACACCGCGUCAUAGCAAGAGAGUUCAAGCUAAAAAAAAAAAAAAAAUUAAACUAGCAAUUGGAGGGGUGUGCCAGGCCAGGGUGAAAGUGUAAGACCAAGGCGACACACGAAGCCCAACUAGCAAGCUAGCGAAAGGAACUUCCCCCAUAAAAAAUAAGAUUAAUAUCGAGUGAGCCGAUGGCUCACAUAUCAGAUAUUAAACUGAUAAGAACAGAUACUACACUUGAUCUUAGCCAAAAGGCCGAGAAAGGUUAUCUUGAUGAUCAGAAUGGCUCAUAAUCAUAUGGCUAAUUCUUAUAAACAUUUUGCAAUCACGAUGACAUAAAUGGAGACUCGGCCAUUUUGGCAUACUCCUGAUGAGCUUGUCAUCGACCUAAAAAUUGGGAGGUUUCAUUCAUUUUAAUAAUGCAUAGGCGAUAUAUGAGUGAUAAGUGAUAACCAUGAUUUGGAAAGUACUUGGCUGAAUAUAACUGUAUUUAUUUUGUUUUCUAAAUGUUAUGUUGUUUGAAGUUAGACUUGAA